rnacentral:rRNA from 1 species
CUUUUUAGUAUAGGACCUUUUAUUUUGAGAAAAUUAGAGUGUUUAAACCAGGCUUAUCCUUGAAAUAUUCCGCAUGGAAUAAAUAAUAAGGAUUUUUAUCUUUUUUAUUGGUUUUAGGAUAGAAGUAAUGAUUAAUAGGGACAGUUGGGGGCAUUUGUAUUUAACAGUCAGAGGUGAAAUUCUUAGAUUUGUUAAAGACAAACUAAUGCGAAAGCAUUUGCCAAGGAUGUUUUCAUUAAUCAAGAACGAAAGUUAGGGGAUCGAAGACGAUCAGAUACCGUCGUAGUCUUAAUCAGCACCAAUCUUUUCGGCUUGCCCU